CCAGAGAGCAAGACAACAGAGCAGCAGGGUCACACCCUGGCUUGCAGGGCCAGCUUCUGGCAACUGCCACAGGCCUGCCACACUCAGCCAUGAAGAAAGAAGGGAUUUCUUUUCCCACACAGAAACACCCCAAGCAGGAACAGAAACAGAUCUUUUGUGCCCACCAAUAUGUGUCUGUCUUGCCCAGCCUGUCAUUGUCCAGGGCUGUGGGUAGUGGAGGAGCCACUGGUUCUUGACUAGUUCUGCAGAAGCCCUGGGUCAAAGGCCUCCGCUGACAGCAUCCAGAAGUGUGUGCUUCUCCAUCCUGGCCACACUCUCAAAUCACUGGCGGAAAGGGCAUGGGAGAACACAGUGAGAAGACAGCAGUCUGAGAGCCCGGAAGAGCGCCCUCACCAGAAACCAAAUGUGUCAGCACCUUGCUCAGGGACUUCCAGCCUCCGGAACUGUGAGGAAACAAAAUGUCUGUUUUGGAGCCGCCCAGGCUGUGGGGUUUUGGUAAGGCAGCCUGAGCAGACUAAUGCAACAGCCUCAACAAAACUGCAAUCGAUGAGAAAAAAACAGUGGGCUUGAAGAAAAAAAUGAAUUCCAGUCAAAAUCUCAACAGUUUCAUUUGGGAGCUUCACUCCUCAGCCAGUGAGACCAGGAACCUACCAGAAGAAAGAAACUCCAAACGCAUCUGAAGGUCGGAAGGAGCAAACUCUGGACACGCUGCUUUUAAGAACUGUAACACCAUGAGGGUCUGCGGCUUCAUUCUUGAAACCAGUGAGAUCAAGAACCCACCAAUUACAAACACAACACCUCAACAACACCUCAUGAGCAGGCAGAGAUGAGGCCACGGACGCGCACAGAGGGAGCAGCAUGCGAGGACCCGAGGAGGAGAAGACCACCUGCAGGCCAAGGAGAGGGGCCAUGGGGGAACCCACCCUGCCUACGCCCUGAUCCCCGACUUCCAGCCUCCAGAAUUGUGUGACAAUAAAUGUCUGUUGUCGAAGGCCCCUGUGUGUGGUGUGUGUCACGGCGAAUUUGGAAACUCAUACAUUGCUGUAUAUACAUUUUCUCUAAAUCUUAAAAGCAGUCUACAAAGAGGAAUCAUCGACUCCCCUUUUUCAGGU
rnacentral:lncRNA from 1 species